UCCCUGGUGGUCCAGUGGCUAAGAAUCUGUGCUCACAAUGCAGGAGGGCCAGGUUCAAUCCCUGGUCAGAGAA
rnacentral:tRNA from 1 species